rnacentral:rRNA from 1 species
CCCUUAGAUGUUCUGGGCAGCACGCGCGCUACACUGGUCGAUGCAACGAGUUUCUUUCCUUGGCCGACAGGCCUGGGCAAUCUUUGAACAUCGAUCGUGAUCGGGAUAGAUUCUUGUAAUUUUUGAUCUUAAACGAGGAAUUCCUAGUAAACGCAAGUCAUCAGCUUGCAUUGAUUACGUCCCUGCCCUUUGUACACACCGCCCGUCGCACCUACCGAUUGAAUGGUCCGGUGAAAUCUCCGGACUGGCGUGAGUCGGAGCAAUCUGACAAACACCGGAAAGUUGAUUAAACCUUACCAUUUAGAGGAAGGUGAAGUCGUAACA